rnacentral:lncRNA from 1 species
GUGGUGGAGUUACACAAGCCAUUGUUAGUUGAAAGGUAGAGCCAGCCGUGAGCGACGGUUGGUUCUUCUGUGGAGGAGAAGACGAGAAUAACCAUAGUAUAUGCCCUUCCUCUUGGAUAAGGUAUGCAUUCUUUUCUAUUUUUUUUAAUUAUCUUCUAAUUUUCCUCUUCUUCCUUCCAAUAAUAUUACUCUCUCUGGGCUUCUUGCUGAUAAAAAAAAAAAACUCUCUCUGGGCUUCUUCUCAGCUUCUUCUCAUCACUUUAAUUUCGGUCGCCUCUUUCUUCCUGCACUCCCCAAUUUCUUCCUCCACCCCCUCAUUCAACCUAACUAUUACGAGAGACUAAAAUCAUAUUUUAAAUUUUUAAAUUUAAAGAAAUAUAUUGUUUUAUUAAUCCUGUUAAGACUGAUCAACAAGCCAACGAUUAUAUAAUUGCCAUGAUUUUUUUCUCGAAAUUAAACUUUUUUAUUAAAGCAUCAAUAUUUUUGUUCUCGAACGGGUUUAGGACCUAGAACGAUUUCUCCUGUUUCUAUCUUCGGUCGGUCAUCGAUGUUUCAAGCUUUCUGUUUCGUCUUUCUUCACUCGGUUGUUUGGUUUCACAGGCAGGGAUGAUAUCGGUAGAAGGCACUCCAACGUUUUAGCACUCGGAUGUCAGAGUACUGUAGAUAAUGACGUACCUACUAUUUAUAUUACCUUAAUGAGUCAAAUUAGGAGGUUGAUUCAUGUUUAAAAUUAUAUUAAAUAAUCUUUAAUUAUGAAUUAAUCCUGUUGACUUAGCCGUCAUCAAUUGUCAAGGAGUUUGCGUAAACUUCUUUUACAUUCAAAAUUGAUAAUUCUUUCCCAGUUUUUUUAGUAUUUUUCCCUUUGGCCACAUGAUUGGCAUCAUUACUUGUUAUUAUUGUUUGGUGAAGUGAGUCUGUGCGAUGAAAAAUCUUUGCCGAAAAGAAAUAGUGGCCAAGGGAUGAAUUAAUCAUUGCGUGAAUUUCAGCAAACAACCUUCUUCUUUUGCUUUUUCACCUAUUUUUCUCACAGAAAAGUUGGAAAGUUAAUCAAACUCAACGGAAUCAUCCAGUCAGAACUAACGGAUGCUUACCAUUUCCAAACCAUUUAAAUAAUGGCAUGCCAACUACUACACCCAGAGCAUUAAUAAUAAUAAUAAUAAUAAAAUUAUUGAAAGUUACAACGAAGAUCGCAUUGCGAUGAAAUUAUGUGAAGAACACUUACUCAUGUAAUAAUAAUAAUAAUAUUUUAACCGUUGUCUUGAAAACAUUUAUUAUGUUUGUCCUAAAAGAAUCUCAACAAAUAAAUAAAUUUUACUUGUAAAAUCAGAAUCUACUUUAAUUCCUCGUAUCAUUCAAAGAAAGCGCAGUUUGAACUCUGAAAUUGACCUAUUAAUUACUUUAAUCCCUAACGCUGGUCAAAUCAUUAAUUGACAACUAAAUUAAUGUUCACCAAAUUCAAGGGUUAACAGUUGUAUGAAAGAUGAAUUUGAUAUUAAGGUGAUUUCCAUUGCUUUAAUUUACUGUUUAUAGAUUUCAUUAUGGUACAGUAUUUUACAAUUUUUCCUUUAAACAGUAUUUGUUUCUAGUAAUGUAUAAGUGGAUGUUUUUUCAAUUUUCAUUAAGAUUUUUGGAGAAGUGCAGAUGGAAGGAAGAGUCGGGUCCUUUCAAAUAUGUAAAGAUGAGAGGUGAUCCAAGUAAAUAUAACUAUUUUACAUAAAUAUCUUGUUAAUUUUAAUUUUGAAAUCUCAUUGACAUGUUAAAACUUUGAAAUCUCAAAGUAUAACUUAAGACAAUCGAUCGAUCGAUUUUUAUGUCUAUGUAAAAUAUCCACAAUCGAUUUUGUUCUCUUUGGUAUUAUUGAGAAUCGAUUCUCCUUGCAUUUGAAUUGCAUAGAAAAUUCGAUUAUUUUAAUGUGUUUCUUCUUUUAUUAGUUUUUUUAAUUUUUAAAAAUUUAUAUUUAUAUUUUUUAUUUAUUUUUCAGGUUAGAUCUUGGUGGUUAGAGUUGUGUAGUUGAAACCUAAAAAAAUAAUAUUUGAUAGUACUUGAAACCUAAAAGAAUAUAUAUAUAUAUAUAUAUAUAUAUAUAUAUCAUAAUUUAUUAUUUAAAUAUAUUUUAAUAAUAAAGAUAAAUUUAUAAAUUUAUAUUUUACAUAUUUUAAAAAAAUUAUAAAUUUCUUUCCACCUAUUACAUCACUUUAUCAUCUUUCAAUCCAAUAAUCUCUCAUUCUCUCUAAUCCUCACAAAUCCACUUUAUCAUCUUUCAAUCCAAUAAUCUCUCAUUCUCUCUAAUCCUCACAAAUCCAAUUUCUUCCAUCCAAACGGACCCUUAAUAUUUUAUUCUCAUAUUUUAAGAUAAUUUUUUUAUAUAAUUCAGCAACUUAAAUUUUAUAAUGCAUGAGCAUAUUUUAAACUUAUGAUCUGCUAUUACAUGUAGAAAUACCCUAAUUAUUAAAAUGAUCAAUAAUUAUGGAUUUCAAACUCCAAAUUGACAGAUUAUAGCAGUUGGAGGGAUUGAUUUGAUGAUUUGGCCCAAAAAUAACUGAACAUUCAAUAACUACAGCCAGAAACGAUCGUUGUUGGUGAUCAGAGAUACAAACAGACCCCAUAUGAGACGGGUUCUGCAUCCAAGAUUCAAAGAGCUUCCAGCUCCAAUCAUAUAUGAAUAGACAAUUCCACUACGGUUGAAUUGGAGAAAUGGUUUGCGACACACAUUGUUUUGUUGUUAUUCAAGAAUUGGCACAGAACAUGGUAGAAUCUCUUUCAGAUAUUAAAAUGCCAUAUUUGACAAUCCAUGGAAUACGAAAGGAAGAUGAAAUGAGAGCGUGG